GNAAUUACUGGGCGUAAAGCGCNCGCNGNCGGUUUGUNAAGUCAGAUGUGAAAUCCCCGGGCUCAACCUGGGAACUGCAUNUGAUACUGGCAAGCUUGAGUNUNGUAGAGGGGGGUAGAAUUCCAGGUGUAGCGGUGAAAUGCGUAGAGAUCUGGAGGAAUACCGGUGGCGAAGGCGGCCCCCUGGACGAAGACUGACGCUCAGGUGCGAAAGCGUGGGGAGCAAACAGGAUUAGAUACCNUGGUAGUNCACGCCGUAAACGAUGUCGACUUGGAGGUUGUGCCCNUGAGGCGUGGCUUCCGGAGCUAACGCGUUAAGUCGACCGCCUGGGGAGUACGGUCGCAAGGCUGAAACUCAAAGAAAUUGACGGGGGCCCGCACAAGCGGUGGAGCAUGUGGUUUAAUUCGAUGCAACGCGAAGAACCUUACCUGGUCUUGACAUCCACGGAAGUUUUCAGAGAUGAGAAUGUGCCUUCGGGAACCGUGAGACAGGUGCUGCAUGGCUGUCGUCAGCUCGUGUUGUGAAAUGUUGGGUUAAGUCCCGCAACGAGCGCAACCCUUAUCCUUUGUUGCCAGCAGGUAAGGCUGGGCACUCUGGAGAGACCGCCCCGGUCAACGGGGAGGAAGGUGGGGACGACGUCAAGUCAUCAUGGCCCUUACGCCUGGGGCUACACACGUACUACAAUGGCGCGCACAAAGGGUAGCGAGACCGCGAGGUGGAGCCAAUCCCAAAAAACGCGUCCCAGUCCGGAUUGGAGUCUGCAACUCGACUCCAUGAAGUCGGAAUCGCUAGUAAUUCGAGAUCAGCAUGCUCGGGUGAAUGCGUUCCCGGGCCUUGUACACACCGCCCGUCACACCACGAAAGUCGGUUUUACCCGAAGCCGGUGAGCUAACUCGCAAGAGAAGCAGCCGUCUACGGUAGGGCCGAUGAUUGGGGUGAAGUCGUAACAAGGUAACAAUCACUAGUGAAUUCGCGGCCGCCUGCAGGUNNGACCAUAUGGGAGAGCNCC
rnacentral:rRNA from 1 species